rnacentral:rRNA from 1 species
GAGACACGGUCCAGACUCCUACGGGAGGCAGCAGUGGGGAAUAUUGCACAAUGGGCGCAAGCCUGAUGCAGCCAUGCCGCGUGUAUGAAGAAGGCCUUCGGGUUGUAAAGUACUUUCAGCGGGGAGGAAGGCGAUAAGGUUAAUAACCUUGUCGAUUGACGUUACCCGCAGAAGAAGCACCGGCUAACUCCGUGCCAGCAGCCGCGGUAAUACGGAGGGUGCAAGCGUUAAUCGGAAUUACUGGGCGUAAAGCGCACGCAGGCGGUUUGUCAAGUCGGAUGUGAAAUCCCCGGGCUCAACCUGGGAACUGCAUUCGAAACUGGCAGGCUAGAGUCUUGUAGAGGGGGGUAGAAUU